GACGAACGCUGGCGGCGUGCUUAACACAUGCAAGUCGAACGAAGAGCGAUGGAAGCUUGCUUCUAUCAAUCUUAGUGGCGAACGGGUGAGUAACGCGUAAUCAACCUGCCCUUCAGAGGGGGACAACAGUUGGAAACGACUGCUAAUACCGCAUACGAUCUAAUCUCGGCAUCGAGGAUAGAUGAAAGGUGGCCUCUACAUGUAAGCUAUCACUGAAGGAGGGGAUUGCGUCUGAUUAGCUAGUUGGAGGGGUAACGGCCCACCAAGGCGAUGAUCAGUAGCCGGUCUGAGAGGAUGAACGGCCACAUUGGGACUGAGACACGGCCCAGACUCCUACGGGAGGCAGCAGUGGGGAAUCUUCCGCAAUGGACGGAAGUCUGACGGAGCAACGCCGCGUGAGUGAUGACGGCCUUCGGGUUGUAAAGCUCUGUUAAUCGGGACGAAAGGCCUUCUUGCGAACAGUUAGAAGGAUUGACGGUACCGGAAUAGAAAGCCACGGCUAACUACGUG
rnacentral:rRNA from 1 species